rnacentral:rRNA from 1 species
UACGGAGGGGGCUAGCGUUGUUCGGAAUUACUGGGCGUAAAGCGCACGUAGGCGGCUUUGUAAGUUAGAGGUGAAAGCCCGGGGCUCAACUCCGGAAUUGCCUUUAAGACUGCAUCGCUAGAAUUGUGGAGAGGUAAGUGGAAUUCCGAGUGUAGAGGUGAAAUUCGUAGAUAUUCAGAAGAACACCAGUGGCGAAGGCGACUUACUGGACACAUACUGACGCUGAGGUGCGAAAGCGUGGGGAGCAAACAGG